rnacentral:rRNA from 1 species
AGAACAAACGCUGGCGGCAUGCCUAACACAUGCAAGUCGAACGAGACCUUCGGGUCUAGUGGCGCACGGGUGCGUAACGCGUGGGAAUCUGCCCUUGGGUUCGGAAUAACAGUUGGAAACGACUGCUAAUACCGGAUGAUGACGUAAGUCCAAAGAUUUAUCGCCCAGGGAUGAGCCCGCGUAGGAUUAGCUAGUUGGUGAGGUAAAGGCUCACCAAGGCGACGAUCCUUAGCUGGUCUGAGAGGAUGAUCAGCCACACUGGGACUGAGACACGGCCCAGACUCCUACGGGAGCAGCAGUGGGAAUAUGGACAAUGGGCGAAAGCCUGAUCCAGCAAUGCCGCGUGAGUGAUGAAGGCCUUAGGUUGUAAAGCUUACUUUUACCGGGAAGAUAAGUGACGUAGGUACCGGAGAAUAAGCGUACCGGUACUUAACCGUCCGUCGUCCCAGGCCAGCCCGAC